GAUGAACGCUGGCGGCGUGCUUAACACAUGCAAGUCGAACGAUGAAGCCCAGCUUGCUGGGUGGAUUAGUGGCGAACGGGUGAGUAACACGUGAGUAACCUGCCCUUAACUCUGGGAUAAGCCUGGGAAACUGGGUCUAAUACCGGAUAGGAGCGUCCACCGCAUGGUGGGUGUUGGAAAGAUUUAUCGGUUUUGGAUGGACUCGCGGCGUAUCAGCUUGUUGGUGAGGUAAUGGCUCACCAAGGCGACGACGGGUAGCCGGCCUGAGAGGGUGACCGGCCACACUGGGACUGAGACACGGCCCAGACUCCUACGGGAGGCAGCAGUGGGGAAUAGUGCACAAUGGGCGCAAGCCUGAUGCGGCGACGCCGCGUGAGGGAUGACGGCCUUCGGGUUGUAAACCUCUUUCAGUAGGGAAGAAGCGAUAGUGACGGUACCUGCAGAAGAAGCACCGGCUAACUACGUG
rnacentral:rRNA from 1 species